CAGAGUCAAGUCACCAAUGCGCUUGCGCCUUCCUCCCUGCUGCCUUUAUGUCGGACAAUCAUGGACCUUCCCGGACACCGUAGAUAAUAAGUCGGUCUUGGCAUAAACUUCCGGGAAGUUUUCGGCGACCUGGAUACCAUCUUCGACACUGGAACAAAUGCAGGGAUGGAGUCCAGGAUUUCCUGCAGGUUCGGCGCUUCCUGACCUGGCGCGACUGCCGACUUCUCGGCACUACUCAGCUCAAGAUCCCAGAGGAAGAGGAGCCAUCUUUCCCAGUGACUUUAGCAGAAAAGUCCCUGAGUCAGUCACUGUGCCCACUGGAAGACAAAUGGAGACUCACCAAGCUUUGGUCAUGAACUCACUGGGACUGCAAGAGACUGGGUCAGCCCCACCAAAGUAACGCAGAAGGGAAAUACGUGGUUUUUCAAAGGAAAGAUUAUCAGUAAGUGAGCCAAGGUGCUGUAGAAGUGAAAUGCUUUCUCAGUUGAACUGUCUUUCCGCACGGAUUUGCCUUCCCACCUAAAAGCUAAAAGCUUCCAUAAGGGACUUGUAACAACCCAGGAGUAUUAGCUGGGUGUGGUGGUGCAUGCCUGUAGACCCAGCUACUCAGGAAACUGAGGCAGGAGAAUCGCUAGAACUCGGGAGGCGGAGGUUGCGGUGA